CGGCAAGUACCGCGACACGGUUCGCGACUUCUGGCGUGGCGAGGCGGCCAGCCUGGGCGAGUUCGCCUCUCGCCUCACCGG
rnacentral:tRNA from 1 species